GCAAACGAAGUUUGGGGGGGUAUAUAGGAAUCACCUUGUCCGUCUGUCUGUCUGUCCGUCUGUCCGUCUGUCUGUGCAAUCGUGUCCGGUCCAUAUCAUUCCUACAGAGGGACAUUAGAAUCUACUACUCCACAUUAAAAUUGCCCAUGACCUAAGGGUGUGUCAUGACCUUGACCCAAGGUCAUUUGGGGAAGUUCAAGGUCACUGGAAAAAAAAAUUUCAUAAUUUGUGUCCGGUUCAUAUCUUUCUUAUGGAUAAACUUGGUAGGUUCUCAUUUCACUCAAAGAUUGCCCAUGACCCAAGGGUGUGUCAUGACCUUGACCCAAGGUCAUUUUGGGAAGCUCAAGGUCAC